CGCUGGCGGCAUGCCUAAUACAUGCAAGUCGAACGGAAGAAGACUUCGGUUUUCUUCAGUGGCGAACGGGUGAGUAACAGGUAGACAACUUGCCUCAACGACUGGGAUAACAUCGGGAAACUGGUGCUAAUACCGGAUAGGAUUGUUCCUCGCAUGGGGAGUUCUUUAAAGGUGGGUUAAACCAUCACGUUGAGAGAGGUCUGCUUCGUAUUAGCUAGUUGGUAGGGUAAUGGCCUACCAAGGCAAUGAUGCGUAGCCGAGCUGAGAGGCUGAUCGGCCACACUGGAACUGAGACACGGUCCAGACUCCUACGGGAGGCAGCAGUUAGGGAUAUUCGGCAAUGGACGAAAGUCUGACCGAGCAAUGCCGCGUGNAAUGAAGAAGUAUUUCGAUAUGUAAAGUUCUGUUGUAAGGGAAGAAUGGUUGUGAUAGGAAAUGAUCACAAUUUGACGGUACCUUACCAGAAAGCCCCGGCUAACUACGUGCCAGCAGCCGCGGUAAUACGUAGGGGGCGAGCGUUAUCCGGAAUUAUUGGGCGUAAAGGGUGCGUAGGCGGCCUUAUAAGUCUGAGUUGAAAGCCCACGGCUUAACCGUGGAGGGUGCUCGGAAACUGUAAGGCUUGAAUCCAGAAGAGGCAAGUAGGAAUUCUAUGUGGAGCGGUGGAAUGCGUAGAUAUAUGGAGGAAUACCCAGUGGCGAAGGCGGCUUGCUGGUCUGGGAUUGACGCUGAGGCACGAAAGCGUGGGGAGCAAACAGGAUUAGAUACCCUGGUAGU
rnacentral:rRNA from 1 species